AAGUAUUGUAUAAGCUUUUCCUGGUAUUGUUUUAGAAACAGAGACAUGUUUAUGAAGGUUGGGAACAACACCUUGGAUUGGAGCAUACAACCACUGCCCCAAAAAGGUCCUACUUAGGCAACAACCAGAACCGCCAUUCUUUUGAGAAGCCUGUGAGGAUUUACAACUAAAGCUGGGAAUACUUUUUACAUGUGAUGAAUGAUGAACAGGAUAUGAAGGCAGCCUUGUUCCAAAAGCA